rnacentral:rRNA from 1 species
CCUACGGGUGGCUGCAGUGGGGAAUAUUGGGCAAUGGGCGCUAGCCUGACCCAGCCACGCCGCGUGAAGGAUGAAGGCUCUCGGGUUGUAAACUUCUUUUCUUAUGGGCGUAGAGAGUAACGUUAACACAGCAAUAAGCCUAGGCUAACUACGUGCCAGCAGCCGCGGUAAUACGUAGGUGGCAAGCGUAAUCCGGAUUUAUGGGGUGUAAAGGGCGUGUAGGCGGGAAAGCAAGUCAGAUGUGAAAAUUAAGGGCUCAACCCUGAGCCUGCAUUUGAUACUGGCUUCCUUGAGUGCUGGAGAGGUAAUCGGAAUUCGGGGUGUAGCGGUGAAAUGCGUAGAUAUACGGAGGAACACCAGUGGCGAAGGCGGAUUGCUGGACAGUAACUGACGCUGAGGCGCGAAAGUGUGGGGAUCAAACAGGAUUAGAUACCCGUGUAGUC